AGUUUCCUGAUGCCUCUCCAGCCAUCCAGAAUGAGAAUUCAAGAAGACCUUGGCAGGUGGAGAAGCUCUAUCAAACAUCACUGUCAGUUUGUUAAUCCCUCCAAGAAUCCAGCCUGAAAGAAAUGAAGUCCAUGUAAAGACUCAUAAAGACCAAAUAAGUGUUUUACGUGGAAAAUAAAUUAGCAAAUUCACUGUCAAAUUCCAAAUGGCAAGGAAGCAUGGAAAGUUGCAGUUUAAUGUCCUCAACAAACUUGUCACUGAUGGCCAGAUGACAAAGCCUGUCAGAGAAACCAGGAGUCACUUUGGAAACAGACUGCUCUGAUACACAGCAUUCAUUCCUGGGCCAGUCUCAGAAGACUAGAAGAGGGUGCACCAUGAAAUCUCAAAAAAAAAUGUACUUGACUGCACAGAAGUUUCCUUUCAAUUUUGAGGGUAUUUUGGAAGGCAGCUAUACGCACCACUAUACUACCAACGCCACACAAUUUGAGGGUAUUUUGGAAGGCAGCUCUGCUCACCACUAUACUACCAACGCCGCACAAUUUGAGGGUAUUUUGGAAGCUGUGUGGAUUCUACCUAUGAAAAGGAGUACUUGUCAUGGGAGUCUUUUAUGGGAAGUAAAAUACAUUUGAAAGUCUACUCCAGUUGCAUCAUUCCAUGUAGUAUAGGGUUUUUCUCUUGGGAGACACAUUAUGAGUCAGAUAGGGCAGACCCAACUCGUUUCUUUAUCAUCAAGACUUCCCAGAUCUGGCCCUGUCUGCUAAGUAUAUCACUAUUUGUUCAGUGUAAUGGGGAAGUAAGAAUUGCCAUACUAAAAAUAUGCCAAAGUAUUCUGAGAGGCCUAAAGAACAGCGAAGAGGUAAAGAAAACAGUAUGCUGAUGGAAAGAAAUGCUAAAUGGAAUAAAGGAACCUGUUCAUGACCCAUCUAUCUGAUGACAAACAUUUAUUGGGAUUGCAGGUACAGGCCACCAUGGUUGGCUAAUUUUUUUUUUUUUUUUAAUUUUCUUGUAGAGAUGGGGUCUUGCCAUCUUGCCCAGGCUGGUCUCAAACUCCUGGGCUCAAGCGACCUUCCCGCCUUGGCCUUCAAAGUGCUGAGAUUACAGGCAUGAGCCACCAUAUUUGGCCUUUCACAAAGUUUUGUACCAUGUCCUGGGCCCUAUAUUAGGUUCAGGGCAUGAAAUGUGAGACAAAGCAGUCAUGGUGCUUCUCUUUAUGACUCUUAGUCUGUUAGGUGAAAGAGACGGUAAUAGAAUAACCACAUAGAGUAAUGUAAAAUUGUAACUAUGAUUGGUUCCAGGAAGGGGAGAGUACAUAGUACUUUAAACCCCUCACAAAAGGAAAGUGUUACCUAAUCCAGUAAAAACACCUGAAACUCAAGGAUUAAAGUAUCACCUCUCUUAAAAAACAAAACCUCCCAGAUUUAGCUAGAAGCACUCAUGAUCAUAUGUGUCUGUGUCUCUACACAUAAUAUAUAUAUUAUUUAUUUAUUUAUUUUAGAGAUGGGAUGGUACUCUGUUGCCCAGGCUGG
rnacentral:lncRNA from 1 species